rnacentral:tRNA from 1 species
AGAUAGCUCAGCUGGUUAGAGCAUGGUGCUGAUAACGCCAAGGUUGCAGGUUUGAUCCCCAUAUGGGAAUG